rnacentral:rRNA from 1 species
UACGUAGGGUGCAAGCGUUAAUCGGAAUUACUGGGCGUAAAGCGUGCGCAGGCGGUUUUGUAAGUCUGUCGUGAAAUCCCCGGGCUCAACCUGGGAAUGGCGAUGGAGACUGCAAGGCUAGAGUUUGGCAGAGGGGGGUAGAAUUCCACGUGUAGCAGUGAAAUGCGUAGAUAUGUGGAGGAACACCAACGGCGAAGGCAGCUCGCUGGGACGGUACUGACGCUAAGGCGCGAAAGCGUGGGGAGCGAACAGG